rnacentral:tRNA from 1 species
UCCCUGGUGGCUCAGAUGGUAAAGCAUCUGCCUGCAAUGUGGGAGACCCGGGUUCAAUCCCUGGUUUGGGAA